rnacentral:misc_RNA from 1 species
GAUGAAGAACGCAGCGAAAUGCGAUAAGUAAUGUGAAUUGCAGAAUUCAGUGAAUCAUCGAAUCUUUGAACGCACAUUGCGCCCGCCAGUAUUCUGGCGGGCAUGCCUGUUCGAGCGUCAUUACAACCCUCAGGCCCCCGGGCCUGGCGUUGGGGAUCGGCGGAAGCCCCCUGUGGGCACACGCCGUCCCUCAAAUACAGUGGCGAUCCCGCCGCAGCUUCCAUUGCGUAGUAGCUAACACCUCGCAACUGGAGAGCGGCGCGGCCAUGCCGUAAAACACCCAACUUCUGAAUGUUGACCUCGAAUCAGGUAGGAAUACCCGCUGAACUUAAGCAUAUCAAUAAGCGGAGGA